UAAAAUUUAACGUUUUCAGGCGCAGGAAAGGGGGUGGAAAACCCCCGCGGACCCGCCGCUGUAACGGAGGACCGACCCCUCGCAGACCCACUGGACGGACAUCGAGCCGUGCGGGAAGGGGAGGGGGAGGGAUGAUCCCGGAGCCAGAAAGCCUGCCUGGAAAAUGAACUUGUU
rnacentral:ncRNA from 1 species